GAAAUUCAAAUCUCAAAUGUUGGUAAUUAUUUCUUGUAAACUCAAGCUUUUUCUUUGUAAUUACAAGUUUUAUUUGUUAGUGAAACAGGCCUCUGAUUGUAAAUGUUGGUUUUCAAUAACAUUAUAUUUUAAAUCCUAAUGUACAGACAUACCUAUUAGUUAAUCACCUACAUUUAUGGCGUCAAUUUCAUGCCUUUUACAACUGCAAUGAAUUGACAAAAAAAAAAACGCAUUUCACAUUGAUCAGUUAAAACUUUAUUCAAACUGACAUGGGUAAAAAACCAAGCGCUCACUUCACAGGAUGGUAUACCUUCCACUCUUCUCUAACAUUGAAAACGAACGUUACUCUAGCUUCUCAUAUGACAUAUGAAAUAGAUGUUCUUGGUUUGAUAUGAAUCCAACUCAGAGCCAGACAAAAGGAUGGAACACAGUGAUCUUGAGUCGGCUUGGUUUAUUAUCUUAAGGUCAGGGAAUAUGUACAUUUUUUAGUUCUUGAUAUUCGUUCUUGGUUUUUUCACUUCUUUCAAGCAUGUACAAUUGUUAAAGAAGCUUAAAUAUGGAAAUUAAACGGCAUAUGCUAAAAUAAAUAUCACACUUGG